AUGGGCUGUACUGUACUUGCUCUCUCUGUCUCUGUCUCUGUCUCUGUCUCUCUCUCUCUGUGUGUGUGUGUGUGUGUGUGUGUGUCUGCGCAUGCUCGCAUGCAGGUGUUCCUGUGGAUGUCUGUACAUGUGGGAACCAGAACACAACCUUGGCUGUCAUUUCUCAAGGUCUGUAUUUUUUUUUUUUUUGAGGCAAGUAGUUUGAAUGUAAUUGGCCUCCAUAGGCUCAUAGGGAGUGGCAUUAUAAGGAGGUGUGGCUUUGUUGGUGCAGGUAUGGUCUUUUUGGAAAAUGUGUCACUAUGGAGGGCUUUGAGGUCUCAUAUGCUCAAGGUACCCCCAAGACACUUAGACCACUUCCUGUUGCCUGCAAGAUGUAACACUCUCAGCUACUUCUCCAGCACCAUGUCUGCCUGCACGCCUCCAUAUCCCACCAUGAUGAUAAUGGACUGAACCUGUGAACUGUGAGCGAGCCAUGUCAACUAAAUGUCUCCUUUACAAGAGUUUCUGUGGUCACGGUGUCUCCUCACAGCAAUGGACACCCUAAAUAAGAGACAGGGUCUCUCACUGUCCUGGAGUUCACGUUAAACUAGGCUAACUAGUUAGUAAGCCCUUGGGGCCUGUCUAUACUUUCCAGUAUCUGUUUUACAAGCACCUGUCACCAUGCUUACAACCUGAGAUUACAAGAUCAUGACCCUAUGCUUGCUCAGCACUUUACUGAACUAUCUCCUGAAAUUCACUAUUUCAAUUUAUGACAAGCAUAUUGGGCCGUAACCAUAACCUCCUGUAAUGCAAGGAGCAUCUGUAGAUGAGCACAGCUGGGGAAGUAUCUACUCUUAGGCACCAUGACUGACUGACUUCUGUCACAACCGAAAGAGUGACACCUGCUUGCUACCUCCUUUCCUGCCUUCUGGGCAGAUUGAGCUCCUGUCUGUCCCAAAGACCCAGGCAGAGACAAAGUAUAGGGAAAAGGGUCACAAGCUAAAAAGGGUCUCCUCAGGUCUGUCCCCCAUUCCAACCACUGUAUUCUGGGAGUCCAACUUUUCUCCUGCAGCUUCAGUUCCCACAGAAAUUUUAUUCCUCUCCUGCCACCUUCUCCUAGCUGCCAUUAUCCCCUCCCUGGAGACCUCCAGAUGUUUCUGCUCUUGCGUUCCAGAAGGAGGUGAAUAUUGGCUUCAGCUCCAGCGAGGAGAGGUGGGAGGCUUAUGGUUGGCUCAAAGGAAGUUACCGGUUCUGUAACUCAGUCUAGAAGUCCGCUGGCAGCAAAGCCAAAGUCAAGUCAACAAUCAGCAUUAACCAUCAUAUUUGGGCUCCAGUGGGCAGUAGAUUCUAAACCUGACCCCAGAUCAGGAUCACCAAAUUCCUAGGCCACCAUGCUGACACAAAAAUUGUGUGGAACUAGAUGACAAACCAUGCCAAGGUCUUUCUGUUUGCUCAAAAUCCUGGGUUCUCAGAGCAGCAUCUGGUGUGUAUUUUUCAUGUGAGUGAGUAAGGUUAGGUAUAAGUAGACUGAGACAUGGGCCCUGGAGAGAGUGGGAGCCACUGAGAUGGGGAGAAUGAUGCCCCAAUCUGGGGUGCACACUUUUGGAGAGCCCAGAGCUUUUUGUUGUUUGUAAUAACAGUUCUGCUAUUUUUAAACAUCUUAUCUAUUUGCGGAGAGGGCGAUGGCAUGUGUGCCACAGCACAUGGGUGUGAAGGUCAGAGGGCAAUCCAAGGGAGCCAGUUCUCUCCUCCCACUACAUACUGGGACCCUGGGAUUGAACUCGGGGUCCUCAGGCUUGACAUCGGGCUCCUUUACCAAUUGAGCCAUCUCCCAAGCCCGAGGCUGGAGCUUCUGCUGGCUUCUUCAACGACUGGUGAUGGUUAGCUUUAGCUGCUGUGUCAUUCACAGAAGCUGUGGAUCCCAGGCCAGGGGAGGAGGCAUGGGGACUGUAUGCCCAGGGAGAUUAAGGAGUGAGAACAGAUAACUCACUCACAGUGACUCGUAAGUGACACCUGACUCAUAAGUGACACUGACACCUGACUGUCCACUUGGACCCACAGUGACUCUCUGAGGCACAUGUCAUGGAGACGCUCUUGUCUCUGUUAGGCCUUGGUGGGUAGGUGUGUCUGUCAGGGGCAGAGCCCCACCAUGUGAGAAAGCUUCCUCCAGUCACUGGCUUGAGAUGACCUCAUCUCAAGGAUUUCCUUGAGGAUUUCACAGGAUGUUCCCAGCAUGCCUCAGUCAUCUCAGAGGUGCUGAUGUGGGGCAUAAGGGGCUGUUUUGGGUCAUUCCUGGCUCUAACUUUUCCUUCCUUUCCUGAUCAGGUUGGCUUGGGCCUCUCUGGUCCUUUUUUCUUCUCCUCAGGUUUCCUCUGAAUCAUUCCAUUUAGACUGUUGAUAUCCGGCCUUCUCCCCACACAAGCACAGACUCUCUGUCUGGGACAAUUGCCCUUUUCUUUCCAAGCCCUCGUCCACCCUCAUCUGUUACCCCCGUCUUCUCAUCUCUCCUGGGAACGGA
rnacentral:lncRNA from 1 species